rnacentral:rRNA from 1 species
UAACACAUGCAAGUCGAGCGGUAGCACAGAGAGCUUGCUCUCGGGUGACGAGCGGCGGACGGGUGAGUAAUGUCUGGGAAACUGCCUGAUGGAGGGGGAUAACUACUGGAAACGGUAGCUAAUACCGCAUAACGUCGCAAGACCAAAGUGGGGGACCUUCGGGCCUCAUGCCAUCAGAUGUGCCCAGAUGGGAUUAGCUAGUAGGUGGGGUAACGGCUCACCUAGGCGACGAUCCCUAGCUGGUCUGAGAGGAUGACCAGCCACACUGGAACUGAGACACGGUCCAGACUCCUACGGGAGGCAGCAGUGGGGAAUAUUGCACAAUGGGCGCAAGCCUGAUGCAGCCAUGCCGCGUGUGUGAAGAAGGCCUUCGGGUUGUAAAGCACUUUCAGCGGGGAGGAAGGCGGUGAGGUUAAUAACCUUGUCGAUUGACGUUACCCGCAGAAGAAGCACCGGCUAACUCCGUGCCAGCAGCCGCGGUAAUACGGAGGGUGCAAGCGUUAAUCGGAAUUACUGGGCGUAAAGCGCACGCAGGCGGUCUGUCAAGUCGGAUGUGAAAUCCCCGGGCUCAACCUGGGAACUGCAUUCGAAACUGGCAGGCUAGAGUCUUGUAGAGGGGGGUAGAAUUCCAGGUGUAGCGGUGAAAUGCGUAGAGAUCUGGAGGAAUACCGGUGGCGAAGGCGGCCCCCUGGACAAAGACUGACGCUCAGGUGCGAAAGCGUGGGGAGCAAACAGGAUUAGAUACCCUGGUAGUCCACGCCGUAAACGAUGUCGAUUUGGAGGUUGUGCCCUUGAGGCGUGGCUUCCGGAGCUAACGCGUUAAAUCGACCGCCUGGGGAGUACGGCCGCAAGGUUAAAACUCAAAUGAAUUGACGGGGGCCCGCACAAGCGGUGGAGCAUGUGGUUUAAUUCGAUGCAACGCGAAGAACCUUACCUGGUCUUGACAUCCACAGAACUUUCCAGAGAUGGAUUGGUGCCUUCGGGAACUGUGAGACAGGUGCUGCAUGGCUGUCGUCAGCUCGUGUUGUGAAAUGUUGGGUUAAGUCCCGCAACGAGCGCAACCCUUAUCCUUUGUUGCCAGCGGUUAGGCCGGGAACUCAAAGGAGACUGCCAGUGAUAAACUGGAGGAAGGUGGGGAUGACGUCAAGUCAUCAUGGCCCUUACGACCAGGGCUACACACGUGCUACAAUGGCAUAUACAAAGAGAAGCGACCUCGCGAGAGCAAGCGGACCUCAUAAAGUAUGUCGUAGUCCGGAUUGGAGUCUGCAACUCGACUCCAUGAAGUCGGAAUCGCUAGUAAUCGUAGAUCAGAAUGCUACGGUGAAUACGUUCCCGGGCCUUGUACACACCGCCCGUCACACCAUGGGAGUGGGUUGCAAAAGAAGUAGGUAGCUUAACCUUCGGGAGGGCGCUACC